GGAUUUUUCAAGGGAAUAAAGGGAUUUUCCAAGGGAAAUCCAAAAAGAAUAAAGGGAUAAAAGGAGAUAUUAAGGGAAUAAAGGGAUAUCUAAAGGGGUAUCUAAAUGGAAUACAGGGAAAUCCCAAGGGGUUAGGCUCAGCCUAAACCGGACCCAGAUAAAUCUGCUGCACCCCAAACUCGAGUUUUGCCCCUCCAGGUGUCCCCAGCCUGGCCUGGGGUGUGACAGGGACACCCAGUGCCACCCUGGGGAGGCUGAGGGGACGGGAGGGCGCUGGGAGGAGUGUCCCCAGGGCUGUCCCCUCCCUGUCACCCGCACCCCCCCACUGAUCCCGGCCUGGCCCGGACAAGCUUCCCCCGAUUUUCAUCUCUCUGACACAAACGUCAGCCCUGCCCCAGGUCCCAGCUGGUCCCAGGAUCAGGAAACGGAACUGCAGCUGCAGGAAAUGCAACUCUGCAGUGGCUGGGAGUGGGAGAUGGGGUCAGGGGCUAAAUGUGAGCGUGGGGCCAAGAGCAGCACCUCAGCACCCCAAAAAACAACAAAAAUAACGCAUAAUAAAUAGAUAAAUACAUAAAUAAAUAAAUAAAUAAAUAAAUAAAUAAGCAGUGGCUGGGAGUGGGAGAUGGGGUCAGGGGCUAAAUGUGAGCGUGGGGCCAAGAGCAGCACCUCAGCACCCCAAAAGAAUAAAGGGAUAAAAGGAGAUAUUAAGGGAAUAAAGGGAUAUCUAAAGGGGU
rnacentral:lncRNA from 12 species